rnacentral:rRNA from 1 species
UAAUACGAAGGGCCCGAGCGUUAAUCGGAAUCACUGGGCUUAAAGCGUACGUAGGCGGGCGCGCAGGCAUCUUGUGAAAUCCCUCGGCUCAACCGAGGAACUGCUUGGUGAACCGCGCGUCUUGAGGCAAGUAGGGGCUGUCGGAACGCUAGGUGGAGUGGUGAAAUGCGUUGAUAUCUAGCGGAACGCCGAAGGAGAAAUCAGGCAGCUGGGCUUGUUCUGACGCUGAGGUACGAAAGCGUGGGGAGCGAACGGGAUUAGAUACCCCGGUAGUCCACGCCGUAAACGAUGUGCACUAGAUCGAGGGGGUUCUGACACCGCUCUCGGUCGAAGCAAAAGUGUUAAGUGCACCGCCUGGGGAGUACGGUCGCAAGGCUA